GUGCCAGCCGCCGCGGUAAUACGGAGGGUGCAAGCGUUGUCCGGAAUCAUUGGGUGUAAAGGGUGCGUAGGCGGAAGCCUAAGUCGGGGGUGAAAUCUUACCGCUUAACGGUAAAAUGGCCUUCGAUACUGGGUUUCUUGAGUCCGGAAGAGGUUGGUGGAAUUCGUGGUGUAGCGGUGAAAUGCAUAGAUAUCACGAAGAACACCGGUGGCGAAGGCGGCCAACUGGUCCGGUACUGACGCUGAGGCACGGGAGCGUGGGGAGCGAACAGGAUUAGAAACCCUAGUAGUCC
rnacentral:rRNA from 1 species